CCGGCAACGGCGGCCGUUCGGACUGCGGACUGCGGCACGCGGGCCGGGCGCCGGGAGGGCGGGGGUUCCCCGGAGGAGCUGGCCGCCCCGGCGCCCCAUUGGGCGCUGCUCCAAACGUGCCCGAGUGGUGACAGGAAUAAAGUGGGUCACAAGGCCUAGCGGGUCCCCAGCGAAAGCUCUCUCGGCACCCGGUCCCCGUCUUUCCCCGCCUCCCAGCUGCUGGAAUCGGCCGCAGCUCCGGGCGCCCUCAAGCCGCCCGGCCCCGCCGUGCACCCCACUCCCGCCCCUGCCCCGCAGGUCUCCCGCUGCGGUGACUCGGAACCACUACCCCGCCUGUGUCCAGGAGGCGCCGCGGCUCCCACCUCCAGCAGCACCUGGGGCUUGACAGUGUAAUGGAAGAUGGAGAAUGAAGCAUCAGAAAUAAACCAGGACCCUAAUUUGCAUGGAUUUCCUCGUUGGAACAACGUGUGACUACUACUUAUCUUCGGGAAAUUACUUAUCUUGAUGCGUUAAGGCACAUUUGGUCCACAUGAGAAAGCACAUUUCAGUGCUUCUACUGGAAAAGAGAUCUUUACAGUCUUAAUUCCUAGUAAUUCCUAUGUUUUAAUGAAUAUCUUUUGGAUUUGAAAUAAAAGCCAUCUUUUUCUUUCAAAAAAUGCACUUUUCUGGCCGUAAAAUCCUCCCUUUAAAGUAACAGUCACCUCAGUAAACAUUUUCAAUUCUUGCUGUAUGCUCUGG
rnacentral:lncRNA from 10 species